GACGAACGCUGGCGGCGUGCUUAACACAUGCAAGUCGAACGGAAAGGCCCUGCUUUUGUGGGGUGCUCGAGUGGCGAACGGGUGAGUAACACGUGAGUAACCUGCCCUUGACUUUGGGAUAACUUCAGGAAACUGGGGCUAAUCCCGGAUAGGAGCUCCUGCUGCAUGGUGGGGGUUGGAAAGUUUCGGCGGUUGGGGAUGGACUCGCGGCUUAUCAGCUUGUUGGUGGGGUAGUGGCUUACCAAGGCUUUGACGGGUAGCCGGCCUGAGAGGGUGACCGGCCACAUUGGGACUGAGAUACGGCCCAGACUCCUACGGGAGGCAGCAGUGGGGAAUAUUGCACAAUGGGCGGAAGCCUGAGGCAGCAACGCCGCGUGCGGGAUGACGGCCUUCGGGUUGUAAACCGCUUUCGCCUGUGACGAAGCGUGAGUGACGGUAAUGGGUAAAGAAGCACCGGCUAACUACGUG
rnacentral:rRNA from 1 species